rfam:Gossypium raimondii Chr13_contig_696, whole genome shotgun sequence.
AGUCCAUGAUGAGGACACCUUCUUAAUAAAUUAUUAAAUCUCUCUCAUGCAUCGUAAAUUGUCUUAAUAUCAAAUUGAACAAAAGAAGAGAUGACAUUCCUUAACUU